UACGUAGGUGGCAAGCGUUGUCCGGACUUACUGGGCGUAAAGCGAACGCAGGCGGACCUUUAAGUAGGAAGUGAAAGGUUGGAGCUCAACUCCGACACUGCUCCCUAUACUGGAAGUCUUGAGUGUUGGAGAGGAAAGCGGAACGACACGUGCAGCGGUGAAAUGCGUUGAUAUGUGUCGGAACACCGAUGGCGAAAGCAGCUUUCUGGACAAAUACUGACGCUGAGGUUCGAAAGCCAAGGGAGCGAACAGG
rnacentral:rRNA from 1 species